UUANAUAUCAAUAAGCGGAGGAAAAGAAACCAACAGGGAUUGCCCUAGUAACGGCGAGUGAAGCGGCAUCAGCUCAAAUUUGAAAUCUGGCUCUUUCAGAGUCCGAGUUGUAAUUUGCAGAGGGCGCUUUGGCGUUGGCAGCGGUCCAAGUUCCUUGGAACAGGACGUCACAGAGGGUGAGAAUCCCGUACGUGGUCGCUGGCCUUCACCGUGUAAAGCCCCUUCGACGAGUCGAGUUGUUUGGGAAUGCAGCUCUAAAUGGGAGGUAAAUUUCUUCUAAAGCUAAAUACUGGCCAGAGACCGAUAGCGCACAAGUAGAGUGAUCGAAAGAUGAAAAGCACUUUGGAAAGAGAGUCAAAUAGCACGUGAAAUUGUUGAAAGGGAAGCGCUUGCAGCCAGACUUGCCUGUAGUUGCUCAUCCGGGCUUUUGCCCGGUGCACUCUUCUGCGGGCAGGCCAGCAUCAGUUUGGGCGGUUGGAUAAAGGCCUCUGUCAUGUACCUCCUUUCGGGGAGGCCUUAUAGGGGAGGCGACAUGCAACCAGCCUGGACUGAGGUCCGCGCAUCUGCUAGGAUGCUGGCGUAAUGGCUGUAAGCGGCCCGUCUUGAAACACGGACCAAGGAGUCUAACAUCUAUGCGAGUGUUUGGGUGUCAAGCCCGAGCGCGCAAUGAAAGUGAACGGAGGUGGGAUCCCUUAAGGGUGCACCAUCGACCGAUCCUGAUGUCUUCGGAUGGAUUUGAGUAAGAGCAUGGCUGUUGGGACCCGAAAGAUGGUGAACUAUGCUUGAAUAGGGUGAAGCCAGAGGAAACUCUGGUGGAGGCUCGCAGCGGUUCUGACU
rnacentral:rRNA from 1 species